UACGGGGGGGGCUAGCGUUGUUCGGAAUUACUGGGCGUAAAGGGCGCGUAGGCGGCAGGCCAAGCGUGCGGUGAAAGUCCGGGGCUCAACCCCGGAUCUGCCGUGCGGACUGGUUUGCUGGAGCACUGUAGAGGCGAGUGGAAUUCCGGGUGUAGCGGUGGAAUGCGUAGAGAUCCGGAAGAACACCGGUGGCGAAGGCGGCUCGCUGGGCAGUGGCUGACGCUGAGGCGCGACAGCGUGGGGAGCAAACAGG
rnacentral:rRNA from 1 species